GUAAAUUAUUAUCUACUCUUGCACAAAAUAAAUCAAUCAGCUCUACAAUCUAUUGCUCCAGAAGAGUUCAUCUUUUGCCCUAGUCCAUUUCCUCUUGCACUGCUCCAGGCUGGAGAAGAAUUCGGUGUAGCAGCUUCUGAGAAGUUGAAGGAGGGGCCAGGCAGAAACUGUCCUAGAGUAAGCACUGAGGGGAGCAAUGCACUUGGCAUACUCAGAGCUGAAACACUUCCAGUGGAGGUCACCUGCAGCCACUGGCAGCCUUAUUUGCAUUUUCUGAAGCCCCCUCUUUUCCCCAUCCUUGGAGUCAAGGUACAUUUACCUGCUGAGAAGUCAGAAGUCUCCCUCUGAUGCAACACAUGUGGCAUUUUCUGAAGCUGAUAGUGUUCAUGGAAAAGGGCAAAGAAU
rnacentral:lncRNA from 1 species